rnacentral:rRNA from 1 species
AGGUAAGCUACUAAGAGCGAAUGGUGGAUGCCUUGACUGGUAAAGGCGAUGAAGGACGUACUAGACUGCGAUAAGCUACGGGGAGCUGUCAAGAAGCUUUGAUCCGUAGAUUUCCGAAUGGGGCAACCCAAUGUAUAGAGAUAUACAUUACCUAUAUAGGAGCGAACGAGGGGAAUUGAAACAUCUUAGUACCCUCAGGAAAAGAAAUCAAUAGAGAUUGCGUCAGUAGCGGCGAGCGAAAGCGCAAGAGGGCAAACCCAGUGCUUGCACUGGGGGUUGUAGGACUGCAAUGUGCAAGAGGUGAGUUUAGCAGAACAUUCUGGAAAGUAUAGCCAUAGAGGGUGAUAGUCCCGUAUGCGAAAAACAAACCUUAGCUAGCAGUAUCCUGAGUAGGGCGGGACACGAGAAAUCCUGUCUGAAGCUGGGUCGACCACGAUCCAACCCUAAAUACUAAUACCAGAUCGAUAGUGCACAAGUACCGUGAGGGAAAGGUGAAAAGAACUGAGGUGAUCAGAGUGAAAUAGAACCUGAAACCAUUUGCUUACAAUCAUUCAGAGCCCUAUGUAGCAAUACAGGGUGAUGGACUGCCUUUUGCAUAAUGAGCCUGCGAGUUGUGGUGUCUGGCAAGGUUAAGCAAACGCGAAGCCGUAGCGAAAGCGAGUCUGAAUAGGGCGCUUAGUCAGAUGCUGCAGACCCGAAACGAAGUGAUCUAUCCAUGAGCAAGUUGAAGCUAGUGUAAGAACUAGUGGAGGACUGAACCCAUAGGCGUUGAAAAGCCCCGGGAUGACUUGUGGAUAGGGGUGAAAGGCCAAUCAAACUUCGUGAUAGCUGGUUCUCUCCGAAAUAUAUUUAGGUAUAGCGUUGUGUCGUAAUAUAAGGGGGUAGAGCACUGAAUGGGCUAGGGCAUACACCAAUGUACCAAACCCUAUCAAACUCCGAAUACCUUAUAUGUAAUCACAGCAGUCAGGCGGCGAGUGAUAAAAUCCGUCGUCAAGAGGGAAACAACCCAGACUACCAGCUAAGGUCCCUAAAUCUUACUUAAGUGGAAAACGAUGUGAAGUUACUUAAACAACCAGGAGGUUGGCUUAGAAGCAGCCAUCCUUUAAAGAAAGCGUAAUAGCUCACUGGUCUAGUGAUUUUGCGCGGAAAAUAUAACGGGGCUAAAGUAAGUACCGAAGCUGUAGACUUGCGCACAACUUAGAUUAUUUAAGUUUAGAAUAUGAGAAACUAAGUUAUAUGUUUAGUUAUAUUUUUACUGAUUUUUAUAGAGUAAAGAUAGAAAUAAAACUUAGUAAAAUCAGUAAAAAUAUUCUUAGACUAAAGUUAAGUAGUUUAAGUUGUGUGCAAGUGGUAGGAGAGCGUUCUAUUUGCGUCGAAGGUAUACCGGUAAGGAGUGCUGGAGCGAAUAGAAGUGAGCAUGCAGGCAUGAGUAGCGAUAAUUAAUGUGAGAAUCAUUAACGCCGUAAACCCAAGGUUUCCUACGCGAUGCUCGUCAUCGUAGGGUUAGUCGGGUCCUAAGUCGAGUCCGAAAGGGGUAGACGAUGGCAAAUUGGUUAAUAUUCCAAUACCAACAUUAGUGUGCGAUGGAAGGACGCUUAGGGCUAAGGGGGCUAGCGGAUGGAAGUGCUAGUCUAAGGUCGUAGGAGGUUAUACAGGCAAAUCCGUAUAACAAUACUCCGAGAACUGAAAGGCUUUUUGAAGUCUUCGGAUGGAUAGAAGAACCCCUGAUGCCGUCGAGCCAAGAAAAGUUUCUAAGUUUAGCUAAUGUUGCCCGUACCGUAAACCGACACAGGUGGGUGGGAUGAGUAUUCUAAGGCGCGUGGAAGAACUCUCUUUAAGGAACUCUGCAAAAUAGCACCGUAUCUUCGGUAUAAGGUGUGGUUCGCUUCGUAUUAGGAUUUACUCCGAAAGCGAAGAAACUUACAACAAAGAGUCCCUCCCGACUGUUUACCAAAAACACAGCACUCUGCUAACUCGUAAGAGGAUGUAUAGGGUGUGACGCCUGCCCGGUGCUCGAAGGUUAAUUGAUGGGGUUAGCAUUAGCGAAGCUCUUGAUCGAAGCCCGAGUAAACGGCGGCCGUAACUAUAACGGUCCUAAGGUAGCGAAAUUCCUUGUCGGUUAAAUACCGACCUGCAUGAAUGGCGUAACGAGAUGGGAGCUGUCUCAAAGAGGGAUCCAGUGAAAUUGUAGUGGAGGUGAAAAUUCCUCCUACCCGCGGCAAGACGGAGAGACCCCGUGGACCUUUACUACAGCUUGACACUGCUAUUUGGAUAAGAAUGUGCAGGAUAGGUGGGAGGCUUUGAGUAUAUGACGCCAGUUGUAUAUGAGCCAUUGUUGAGAUACCACUCUUUCUUAUUUGGGUAGCUAACCAGCUUGAGUUAUCCUCAAGUGGGACAAUGUCUGGUGGGUAGUUUGACUGGGGCGGUCGCCUCCCAAAUAAUAACGGAGGCUUACAAAGGUUGGCUCAGAACGGUUGGAAAUCGUUCGUAGAGUAUAAAGGUAUAAGCCAGCUUAACUGCAAGACAUACAAGUCAAGCAGAGACGAAAGUCGGUCUUAGUGAUCCGGUGGUUCUGUGUGGAAGGGCCAUCGCUCAAAGGAUAAAAGGUACCCCGGGGAUAACAGGCUGAUCUCCCCCAAGAGCUCACAUCGACGGGGAGGUUUGGCACCUCGAUGUCGGCUCA